rnacentral:rRNA from 1 species
AUUCUGCUCCAUGGUUUAACUAAAUAGCCGCAGUACCUUGACUGUGCUAAGGUAGCAUAAUCAGUUGGCUUGUAAUUUAAGUCUGGCAUGAAAGAAGGCAUGGAUAAUAUCUGUCUAUGAACCUAAAAUAGAAUUUACUUAGUGGGUGAAAAAACCCACAAGUAGUUAAUAGACGAGAAGACCCUUGAAAUUUUUUCUAAAGCAACAUUUGUGCUGUUAACAUUUUGUUGGGGCGACAGGAUAACAAGUAACUUAUCUUAUGUUAUUAGCAUUUAGUGAUAAGGUAAAUUAAAUUACUCAAGGGAUAACAGCAUAAUGUAUUAAAGUUUGUGACCUCGAUGUUGGACUAGGGUUUCUCAGGGCCAGAAGUCUUGAGAUUCGGCUCUGUUCGCGCCAUUUUCCCU